GGCUAACGCUGGCGGCGUGUCUUAGCCAUGCAAGUCGAGCGGACUUAUGGGGUAACUUAUAAGUCAGCGGCGGACGGCGGAGUAACACGUAGCUAACCUACCCUCUGGACGGGGAUAACCUACCGAAAGGUGGGCUAAUACCCGAUGUAGUCAUCCUGUAUAGGGGUGAUGAAAGGUGGGCCUCUGUUUACAAGCUCAUGCUGGAGGAGGGGGCUGCGGCCUAUCAGGUAGUUGGUAGGGUAAUAGCCUACCAAGCCGAUGACGGGUAGCCGGCCUGAGAGGGUGACCGGCCCGAGGGGCACUGAGACACGGGUCCCACUCCUACGGGAGGCAGCAGGCUAGAAAUUUGGGCAAUGGGGGAAACCCUGACCCAGUGACGCCGCGUGCAGGAAGGAGCCCUUCGGGGUGUAAACUGCUGUCGUGUAGGGAGAAGGGUACUAAGGUGAACAAUCUUAGUACUUGACGGUACUACAGGAGGAAGCCCAGGCUAACCUCGUG
rnacentral:rRNA from 1 species